CCUACGGGUGGCAGCAGUGAGGAAUAUUGGUCAAUGGCCGCAAGCCUGAACCAGCCAAGUCGCGUGAAGGAAGAAUGCCCUAUGGUUUGUAAACUUCUUUUAUAGAGGAAUAAAGUUAUCCACGUGUGCCUUUUUGUAUGUACUUUAUGAAUAAGCAUCGGCUAACUCCGUGCCAGCAGCCGCGGUAAUACGGAGGAUGCGAGCGUUAUCCGGAUUUAUUGGGUUUAAAGGGAGCGUAGGUGGGUUUUUAAGUCAGUGGUGAAAGUUUGUGGCUCAACCGUAAAAUUGCAAUUGAUACUGGAAGACUUGAGUGCGGUUGAGGUAGGCGGAAUUCGUGGUGUAGCGGUGAAAUGCUUAGAUAUCACGCAGAACUCCGAUUGCGAAGGCAGCUUACUAAGCCACAACUGACACUGAUGCACGAAAGUGUGGGUAUCAAACAGGAUUAGAUACCCUGGUAGUC
rnacentral:rRNA from 1 species